rnacentral:lncRNA from 1 species
CCAAAACAGGCCCCCAAGCCCCCACCUGCUAUAUAUGAACACCCUACACCUUCAUUUUCGGAAACCCUAGCCCCUAGCCCUUCUUCUCCACUGCCCCGCCACCACAUGUCCUCCACUAGCCGCCACCUGCGCUGCCCUACCACCGCCAUGAUCUGGAACAUUAAAUGUAGAUCAAACGUCUCCUACGCUUCCCCGUAGAGCCCCACUCCAUCGCGGUCCGCUCAAGCCCGGGCGAGGCACGCGUAGGCCAUACGUUGUCGCCCACGUGCUGCUCGUCGCCAAGCCGCCCCCAUCGAUCCAGGAUCGAGGGGAUAUCAAUCCUUGGCGCCCAACCUCGAGUGCCCUCUCCCCGUGUCCAGCCGGCCGGCGAGCCGUCAGAGCAGCAGCGCCACCAGAGGUCCACGCCGCCCUACCCUCCCUCCUCUCUUCCUUCUACUUCUUUCCGUGUCUCACCCCACAUCCAUGGACACCGCAGGUACCUUCCAUGUCUGCCCUACUAGCUCCGAAACUCCGCCGCUGCGCCAAGGUUCCCCACCGCUCGACCAGAUCUGGCUUCCCCCGGUCCCGAUCCGUCCAUCCCCGCUGGUCUCCGACCUCCACCGUCCUGCCUCAGGCUCGCCAUCCCUCCAUGCCUCUACCUUUCUUGGCCUCCUCGUAGGAGGGAGACGAUGAGCGAGCUCGCAUGCUCGCAUGCUCGCUUGGGCCUACCUCCCUUGCUGUCGGCCUCGGCCCGCCUCUAUGCCUCCGGCCCAACGACGAGCUCGACCGCCUCCCUGACAGGGCCAAGAGCCCAUGGUGAGCGCGCCUCUCCAAUUCCUCACCCAGGCGCUACAUUGCUAUCGUGUGCCCAUCGUUUGUAGCCCGCUAUUGUACAUUCGACCCGAGUAUAUAUUUUUUCCUAUGUUUGCGAUUUAACAAUUACUAGUAAAUACGUCCGUGCGUUGCUACGGGGCAUUUUCUGGAGCAUGGGUUGGAAAAGUCAAGAAGUUGCACUCAUGUGUUUGAACGAUGCCUUCUUUAGAUACGCACUGCCCUCGGGUGGAAGGGUUGUAAUAUAGGAAAGGGUGUACAAUGAAGUUUGACCGGGUGCUUUAUUCCGGAAUUUGGAACGUAUUCUUUGAGUAUUUAGUUAUUGCACCCGUCAAUGAUACUCCAUUUGUUCCAAAUUAUGGGGAGUUAUAACCUUUUUUCUUAAUUAGAUGUAUAUAGACGUGUUUUAAUGUGUUUCUUCAUUCAUUUCAGUUUGUAUGUAGUCUACAUUAAAAUAUCGAAAACAUCUUAUAUUAGUGAAAGGGGUACAUCAUUGUAACAUUUAUACAUGAAUCUUGAGAAACUUCCCACGAGCUCACAAAAAACAUGAUUAUUUCCAUGUAUCUAUUUUCAUAUGGGUCUAUCUUUUAGACUCUGCAUAUUUUGAAAUCAAUUAGUAUAAUAUAUUAGAAACUUUAAAAAUGAAUGAGCCCCUAUGACAAUUGACAAUUAAGUUAUUUUACAUAAGUGAAUCCUCUCAAUUUGGACAUGCCUUGAACUUGGUACUUGGAAGUUAUACCUGAAUCAAACCAUAACACGAGGUAAAUAUAGGAUUGUAUUGCAGCAAAGCAUACUUUCAGCAAGUAUGGUAAUGGUGCGAGUCAUUAUCAUUUUUCCACAAACACAAAGACU